CACGUAGGGGGCAAGCGUUGUCCGGAUUUAUUGGGCGUAAAGAGCUCGUAGGUGGUUCGGUAAGUCAGGUGUGAAACCUCCCAGGCUCAACCUGGAGACGCCACUUGAUACUGCUGUGACUGGAGUCCGGUAGGGGAGCGUGGAAUUCCUGGUGUAGCGGUGAAAUGCGCAGAUAUCAGGAAGAACACCCGUGGCUAAGGCGGCUCUCUAGUACGGUACUGACGCUGAGACGCGAAAGCGUGGGGAGCGAACAGG
rnacentral:rRNA from 1 species